rnacentral:ncRNA from 1 species
CACCGCUCGUCACACUAUGGGAGUUGGCCAUGCCCCAAGUCGUUACCUUAACCGCAACCAAGUCAUUACCUUGACCGCAAGGAGGGGGAUGCCGAAGGCUGGGCUAGUGACUAGAGUGAAGUCGUAACAAGGUAGCCGUACUGGAAGGUGCGGCUG